CUAUAAAGGGAUGACGCAAGGAGUUCCUUUGUGCUGAUGGAACAGUUCUAUAUGAUUAUGAUGAUUACGAUGUUGAUUAUAACAUUUGACUUUAUGUUGGCCAGCACAGGAUGUGAUUGUGCGCAACUUAAUCAAUGUUCCUGAAAUAGAUACAAGGUGAACGAUAGAAUUAAGUAUACAUUCAUAAUGACAAUCAUUAAGGAACUUUUUGUGUGUACAGAAACUAAUUUUAGAAUUUGGCACAUUUGUUUGACAGCGUUUCAUUAAACAUGUUUCAUGUCAGAGCUCUUUGUUCACUUUACACAAUUUCCUGGAUAAAAGUGUCAUAGAAGGUAAGAUGAUUCUUUGAUGGAAAUAUUUCCAUAUGCCAAAGAGGGAAAAGUUCUGAAAAUUGUGCCUAGUUAAAAAAGUGUCUAAAUUAUGAAGGCUGCGAUGUGCUAUACAUUUUAAGAAUGUAAAUAAUCCCCAAAUUCAUUGAUACAACGUAUAUUUGGAGCUUACUAAGAAUAACAGAAUAUGCCAUAUGCUAGAGACAGAAAAGUUAAUGAGACC
rnacentral:lncRNA from 1 species